UACGUAGGCAGCGAGCGUUGUUCGGAGUUACUGGGCGUAAAGGGUGUGUAGGCGGUUGCUUAAGUUUGGUGUGAAAUCUCCCGGCUCAACUGGGAGGGUGCGCCGAAUACUGAGUGACUCGAGUGCGGGAGAGGAGAGUGGAAUUCCUGGUGUAGCGGUGAAAUGCGUAGAUAUCAGGAGGAACACCGGUGGUGUAGACGGCUCUCUGGACCGUAACUGACGCUGAGACACGAAAAGCGUGGGUAGCAAACAGG
rnacentral:rRNA from 1 species